rnacentral:rRNA from 1 species
UCAGUGCUGCAGCUAACGCAUUAAGCACUCCGCCUGGGGAGUACGACCGCAAGGUUGAAACUCAAAGGAAUUGACGGGGACCCGCACAAGCGGUGGAGCAUGUGGUUUAAUUCGAUGCUACGCGAAGAACCUUACCAGGUCUUGACAUCUUCUGCCAACCUAAGAGAUUAGGCGUUCCCUUCGGGGACAGAAUGACAGGUGGUGCAUGGUUGUCGUCAGCUCGUGUCGUGAGAUGUUGGGUUAAGUCCCGCAACGAGCGCAACCCUUAUUGUUAGUUGCCAGCAUUCAGUUGGGCACUCUAGCAAGACUGCCGGUGACAAACCGGAGGAAGGUGGGGAUGACGUCAAAUCAUCAUGCCCCUUAUGACCUGGGCUACACACGUGGACGGGCGGUGUGUACAACGAGUCGCGAAGCCGCGAGGUCAAGCUAAUCUCUUAAAGCCGUUCUCAGUUCGGAUUGUAGGCUGCAACUCGCCUACAUGAAGUGGAUCGCUAGAAUC